CCUGAACCAAAUACAACCAGAUCUAAAUACUACAAUUUCAACUGAAAUUCUUUAACGUCUGAAAAUCACUGGGGUGAAAAACCAGUCAAAUAUUUUAGUGUUCAGUUCAUUCCUUCAUUUACUGAAAAUGCAUUCAUUACCUGAGGACAUUAAGAUGCAUGUAGGAGACAAUAGUUCCUGAAGGAAUAUGUAUCCAGGCAUUCAGAAGUUUAAUCCUAGUGAUGUUCUGGAAUGAGAAGACUUGAGUAUAUCUGCCCAUCCAUCCUGCAACUUUGCACCCAGGAAACUGCAGCCUCUUUCUUCCCUGGAGCUGAAAAUUCUUGUGGGCAUCAAAGGACAAGGCACUUGGAGUCAAUCCACGAAUGUGAUUAUCACUCUAACAAUGUAACUACUAGAGAUUUCCUGUAUAUAGACAAUUCUUUCUUUACAGUGCUAUAGUCAGUUCUCUGUUUUUUUAAGUAUGUUCAUGAAUAAUUUUUAGCA
rnacentral:lncRNA from 1 species